CCAGGAUGGUCUCAAUCUCUUGACCUCGUAAUCUGCCUGCCUCGGCCUCCCAAAGCACAGGGAUUACAGGCGUGAGCCACCAUGCCUGGCCAAUCAAUAGCACUUUUAUACAUUAACAAUGAACUAUCUGAAGAAUAAAUUAUCAAAAAUCCAGUUUACAAUAGCUACAAAAAAGAUAAAAUGCCUUGGAAUAAAUUUAACCAAUGAGGUGAAAGAUGCGUACACUGAAAAUUAUAAACCAUUGAUGAAAUAAUCUGAAGAAUACACAAAUAAAUAGAAAGAUUUCUCAUGGUUAGGAUUGGAAACAUUAAUAUUGGUAAAAUGUCUAUACUAACCAAAGCAAUCUACAGGUUCAAAAUGCCAAUGACGUUCUUUACAGAAAUAGAAAAAAAAUCAGUUCUAAAAAAAAAUAUGUGCUAGUAUUAAAAUGUGUUCAUACCAAGGAAUUCAAAGAAAUCUUCAGAAGAAGAAAAAUUAACCCUAAAUCUAAGAUUAGACAGGAAUUAGGGAAGCAAGGUGAAGUAGGGAUGAGUUUGAAGUUGGGAAUAAUUUAAGAAAACAUAAUUAUGUACUUAAAAUAAGGACACAUAUUGUCACUUAACAGUAAGAUAGUCUCAUUAUCCCUUUUAAUCAGUUAGAAAGCACUCAACACCCAAGAAAAGGGGAAUUCAAAUUUUUCCUCUUCUGUGCCUUUUCAUCAAGAAUGUAUGUGUUCUUUAUGAAGCUAGAAACAAAUCCACAUGCCUACAAUGAACUUAUUUUUGACAAAGGUGACAAGAACAUACAUUAGGGAAAAGACAGUCUCUUCAAAAAUAGUGCUAGAAAACUGGACAUCUACAUGCAGAAGCAUGACACUAUAUCCUUAUUUCUUGCCAUACACAAAAAUCAAAUACAAAUGGAUUAGACUUAAAUAUAAGAGCUCAAAUAACCAACUAAAUUGUAGAUGAUAAAGUGAUGGGUUUGUGUUUGCGUUUCGUAGUUGUUGUUGUUGUUUUUCUUUUUUUUGAGAUAGAAAAUUGAGGCCAAGUUGUAGUGUCACCAACUUUCUUGGGGGUUGCUUUAGGACUUAGAAAUCAUAUUGUAUUAAAUUAGGUGAAGAGACUGUUAUAGAAAAUAAUGCUGCAGAAUAUGAGUGGUUUAACACAAUAAUUUUUUUAUGACAUGUAACUCAAUAUGGAUGUUUGCCUGGCACUUUUUAAGGCAGUGACUCAGAGACUUAGCUCCUUCCAUAUCUUGACUCCUCCAUCUCUUGGACUUCACAAUCCUUUGUUUUUAGCUGGUGGGUGAACAAAGAUAGGUUAAGAGAAGUCACUUGCUUCUAAGCCAGCUAGGGCAGAAGUAACAUUGUUCCUUUCAACACAUCACCCAUUGGCAAGAAAUUGUCUCAUCAUUUCCCUGUGUGCUGGUGCAAGGAAUUUCAAAAUGUAGCACCUAGCUGGGUAGCUAAUGCAACAAUUCUACACAAUCGAAAGGAAGCCUAAAUAUUUGGUGGACUGCAAGUUGUUUCUGUCAUAUAAAACACAUUUUAGGAGAGUAUUUUAAUAAUCUAGGCUAGAGAAUUUAAUGACUUAGGCUAGCAGUGUAGUAGAAGAGGUAGAGGAAAGGAUAGAUUUAUAAUAUUAUAAAGAUAAAAUAAUAGAUUUGAUAAAGAAAUGUGAGGUGUACUGUAGAUGGUAAAAUUAUUUACUGAUAUGCAAAAAAAAUUUAAAAACAAACAAAUGAAAAGAUGGAUUGA
rnacentral:lncRNA from 10 species